UUCUCACUUCCUUCCCAGAACUUGCUUCAGCUGCUUCUCCGGGUUACUAGGUUACUGAUCACUUUAAGAACCUUCCAGCCAACCUCUUGGCUGGGCCUCUGCAGACUUGAAAGUAGGAAAAAGUGCCUCAAGUCAGUCUCAGCUGAUGGCAGAGAGGAAAACUGGGCCAGCCUAAUGCAUUCUGGUUUGCAGCAGUUUAGGACUUUGAGUUAUUUGAAGUGGUAAGAGAAAAAGAAAAUGAAAUUUUCCUAAAUACAUAGCUGGAGACUUUUUCCUUUGUACAGAUGCAGAAGUGGGGAAACGGGAGCCAGAAAGCCAAGCCAUGUGCAGAAGGGCACCAUCUGGUCAACGGAGCUGGGGUUAGAAUCCGGCGUCCUGAAUCUCCCAUGUGGGGAACAGAUCUGCGGAGCCUGUCACAUCACCAUUUUGGAAGUGGGUCACCUAUUUAACUCAUGUUCAGGAAGACAGUGCGAAUAGUGAAGAGAAUGUGAGCUUUAGAGUCAGAAAUAACUGGAUUUGAACCCCAGUGCUGCUACUUACAAGAAUCCUGGUCUUGAGCCAUUCUACUUGCAGUACAGGGGAUAGCUGAAGAGAAAAUCCUGACUCAUAUCCUGCAAUUUAUCAAGCUCAGUGGAAAGAGAUAGCUCACUAACAAGGCGAAAAGCAAAGGAAGAAUCGUCCUGACUGAGAUCACAUGCUUCAUGCCCAUUCCUUAACCCGUCUCUUUGACUAAAGGAAGAAAUACUUUGAUGAGGGUUUAUAACCACGAGGACCACCCCUGUGAUAGAUGAAUGGAGUGAGUAGGGUUAUCUCAACCGCAGAACCAUGGGAAAGAGUGCUUUUUAUACUGGAAAGUUCUGCCACACCACUCAAUGUAAGCAAUCAUAAAGAAUUCAUUGGCCUAUUGCUUUCGGUAACUAUUUUUAGGAAAGUGUUAUGGUAGAGGUCUCUGGAAAGAGAGUGGCUUCCAGAAACCAGGAGGCAUAAUUUGGCAGCAGAAUGGGUACCCGGGGUGUAUUGGCGACUUCUGUUUACAGAAGGCAAUGCUCUCUAGGCUACUUAUGCCCAUGCCUGCCUUCACUUUACUCUUCAGAACAACCCUGUGAGGUAUAUGUUAUUAUUCCUCAUUUAUGAUUAAAAAAGUAAAUUGACCUAGGUCACAAGCUUGGUCACAAUCAAAGUUCAGUUUUGAACCCAGAUCUAUUUCUGAAAACCAUGUGCUUUUCAACAUAUGGUAAUGUUCUAAAUGCAAAAUGUUGGCAUCUUGACAAAGUAAGCAGAGGUUUUCAUUUUGUGUUGCUUUCCCUCUUCCUUUCCUCUAAGAAAAAAGAACAUGUUACCUGUUAGAGAUCAACUUUGGGAAAGUGAUACAUUCUGAGGAUCUAGGAGCUGGGAGGUCGUAAGCAUUGAAAGCAGCAAAAAGGAUGGGAAAGUCCUUUGGUGGUGAGCUUAGGACAGAUUUUCUUUUCUACUUAUAACAUUAAAAGAAUGGAGAUUUGCUGAGAUUUUCCACUUCUAUAUAUAAUCAGCAAAUUUGUUAUUUGUCACAGAUUUUAUAUUAAGUAGUUGGUACGGAAUGUCAGACUGUACUAUUCCCUCACAUAACAACUAUUUAUUGAAUUUUUACUAUAACAUAAGCAUUAAAAAAAGAAACCUAAGGGCAUAAAAUAUCUAAUAAAAUGGUAAAAAUCAAGUUUUAAAGAUUAAAUAAAGGAAAGUACAAAAGGAAAGACUAAAAUUCAGCUAAAUCAACAAAAAUCUCGCAGGCCACCUCAUGUACUUUGAUGGCGUUCACCCUCCCAAAUCUAGAGAAACAAUGUGUUAUGGCCAAGUUUAGCUCUUAUUCUUCCUCCUACAAAAUUACAGUAGACUAUGAACUUGUGGUUUCUGUCCAAGUGAAAACUUCCCACGAUUAUAUUCCUGACAUUUUACUAUAUAAAAAGAAGAGUCUAAUUUCUCUACAGAAAAACAGGAUUUCAAAAUUAAACCUGGGAGAGUGAAGAGUUCAAACUACACAAUCUCUCAGUUAUUUGUAGUGACCUUUAGCAACACUUGGUUGGAGCCACCAAAGAGCAAAAUUCUUCAUUUAUAGUUUUUCAUUUUUAAAAAAAGUAUCUAUGAAUAAAGAUCCAAAAGUCUCAAAGGGAGCUUCAUAGAGUUGUUCAAUCCAGAAUAGAAAUCAUCAGGAUUCACAAAUAUUUGUGCAGAAAAGCCUGCAUAGUUAUUCAACUCCUGGAGGAAUAAUUCCUAAAUCUUAGCAUGGCACACUGGGCGUCUAAGUUCAAGUUCCUACCUACUUUUUACCUUUUAUGUGAGUAAUACUUUCUCACCCUCUCAGGACCUAAAGCCCUUGCUAUUUCUGAAUGUCAUGUUGCUUUUUGCCUCUAUGCCUUUAUUUAUACUUAUCUUUUUGGGCAAAAGUCUUUUUUUACACUUUUAGAACUAGCAAACUCAAAUGCAUUCUUCAAAAUUGAACUCAAACAAAAUUCAGGGUAUUGUUACCAAUGGAAAAAGUUUUAACCCAAGUGCCUGUUCUCCCAAAGUGUUUUUAAAAAUUUGUUUGCAUACCUCUAUUAUAGCUCUUUUAUUACAUUAAUUUAUACCAAAUUAAAUUGCAUUAAAUUAUUUAUAUUUAAUGAUGUUAUAUUUUGUUUAACUUAUGAUCAUUACAUUGCAAGUUUCUCAAGAGCCCUGUUUUACUCAUAUUUGUGCUCCCAAACCUGAGAAUGCCUUUGUAUCAGAGCAGGUGCCCAAUUAAUAGGGGUUUAAUUAAUUAAUUACUUUCUCAAAUAUCUACUACAUUCAAGACAUUGUUCUAGUCAGAUAAAAAGAGACAUAAACAAUGCCUCUUACUUCAGGAAGUUUGCAGUCUGCUUGAAAUGCAAGAUACAGAAAGUAAUAUUAAUAAUGACCAAAAAAUAGAAAAUAUAUAUGUAACUCAUACUAUACACCAGAGAGUAUUUGGAGUAUAUUAUAUGUAUUAAUGCAUUUAAUCCUCAUUAUAGCACCUAUGGAGUAGAUACAAUUUUAUGAGUGAGGAAACUGAGGUACAGGAAGAAAAAGGAAUUUAUCUAAAGUACUUGGUGAAAUUGGGGCAAAAUCCCAGGUUGUCUGGAGUUAGAAUUACUCUCAACCUAUAUGUUAAGCCAUAAGUGACCUAAUGAUAAGAACAGUUAAAUUUAAUUAAUUAAAUUCAAUUAAAAAGACUAAAUAUUAAAAUAUCUGUACAUUAAUAGUACAUGCAAAAUUAUCUAUGAAAAUAUCCUGUAAUUUGAAUUCACUUUGAAUCAAAUAUUUUUCUUCAGUCUUAUAUCUCCUGUCAAAUACCAUUAAACCUGUGGAAACUGCUAAAGGCUUCUUAGGAGCCCCUCAGGAGAAGAGGAGGCGUUGGUCCCAACUACCAUCCCUUUCAACCACUGUAGCUCUGCUUUCAUUUCUUUUCUGUGCUGGGGCUCCAUUUAGAAUUUUGUCGUCUAGUAAAGUAAAGGUACUUUGCAAAGCUGUUGUAUGCGUAAGUGGAGCAGAUAAAGACAGAAAACAGAUAGAUGUGCUGUCUGAGAUCCCUUUCCUCCCUUCUUUCUCCUGUUCCCCUCUUUAACACCACCACCCUCCUCAGCCACUAUCGAGCUUUGUAUAGGGUAACCUUUUCCUGGACCAGGUAAGAGAUGCUUCCCAAACUUUGCUUUAUUAACUGUCUCUGCUCUGGACCUUUCAUCCCGUCUCCCUGCCCUGGUCAAUAGUAUAUUCAAAUCUGUACUUGAUCGCCUCUAUUUUUUGUCUACUAGCCCUCAUUUAACCUUGGAUUUGAUACCAAGCACAUGCUUCCUCACUGGAGGAAGUACUCACUACUCUGGUUUUGCUUCCUAAAUCAUUUCAGGUGACACCCUAGCUCUCGCCUUGGACAUCACACUGGGCCAGUCCGGACCAGUCCAGUAUUCAGCAGAAAAUCAGCCUGAUGGUACCCAUGAUUAAUUUAUUAUACAGGACCCAGCUUCUCUUUUACAGAGAUUCUUGUAUGUUUUUUUAAAAUGAACUUCUGAUGGAAGGUUAAGAUACUUCUGAAUGUUUUGUCUCCUGAGGUCUGUCUGCCAACAUUAUCGGAACUGAUUUUUCUGACCUACCACCUGUUCCAAACUCAUGUAAAAAACAAACACAUUGUCAUUCAUCUCUUCUAUUUCACCAUUCUUUUCCAUUAUAGUAUUUAAAUAUAAGGUUCUAUUCAUACAAUGUACUGUUCUCAAUUCCAGAAACCAUGGAGCAUGGGCUUGAAAACAGGGACACAUAAGUUAAAAUAGAGCCAGGAAGUAGAAAAUCUAAUCAACAAGAACUUGAAACCCUUAUAUAAGGUUAAAAGACCAAGUCUCAUAAUAACAGCAGUUAUCAUAAGUAGCAUCAUAUGUAGUUUUGUAAAUAACCCUUAACGACAUUAUAUGCUUAAGAUAGAAUCACCAAGAAUGCCACUAUUCCAAUAUUACUGAACACACUUCCAGGAGGCUUCCUGAGGAAGACACACAAGUACCGCUGGCUGGUAAAUGAGAUGGACUAAACAGAAAAGAUGUAGAAAAGGAGAAAGCCAGGAAAGAGACAUAGAACUUGAAGCCUCAAUAGCAUGAGCAUUGAAUUCUGUGAAGCCACAUCCAGGAGGCAGCCUGGUAUCAUUCUCUAAGGAUGGUGAAAAUCUUUUUGAUACAAGAAUCAUAUGGUCCUAAGGCCACAGGUAAGGUAUAAAGACCUUGUAAGUAAUCCCAACCCAAGAUAUCUCUGAUAUGCCCUGGAGAAAGAACUACCAGUCACACAUAUAGCUUUAAAAAAUGGAGCAUUAGAGGAGGAAAUAAUCUCAGAAAGAGUGUCUUCCCAUACAGAGACCGCAACAACAUACCUAAUACCUAUUCAGUUUUUUUAGGAAAAAAUUGAAGGAUUCUUAAUAGGACUUGGGACUCAGGUAUCCAGCCAUACCUAUGUUUUUACAGUUCUUGACAUACACCUGUUUAGUUCUCCUAUUCUUCUUUCAUCCUCUCUUCUCUCUUUCUCCCUCCCUCCUUUUCUACCUCCUUCAAUAAACACAUUAAAUUCACAUUCUAGGUUAGGAACUUUGAUAUAUAUAUAUAUAUAUUUUUUUUUGCUUUUUAGGGCUGAACCUGUGGUAUAUGGAUGUUCCAA